GGUCAAGCGGGAAAGAGCGCACGGUGGAUGCCUUGGCAUCAAAGGCCGAUGAAGGGCGUGGCAAGACUGCGAAAAGCCUCGGUGAGCUGUCUAGCAAGCUUAGCCGGGGAUGCCCGAAUGAGGCAACUCAUCCCGAUAAAAUCGGGAUACCCCCAGCUCAACACAUAGGCUGGGAGGAGGCAAGCAGGGGAAGUGAAACAUCUCAGUACCCUGAGGAAAAGAAAACAUUCCCCGAGUAGUGGCGAACGAAACGGGAACAGCCCAAACCUCGUAAACUUAACGGUUCUGGAGCCUAUGUUUACGGGGGGUUGCAAGGCGGUAGGGCUUAGUCGAGAAUAAGCGAAGGAGUUACAAACCGAACUCUAGUUGAAGGUCUCUGGAAAGAGCCACCAUAGACGGUGAUAGUCCGGUAAACGAAAGAGGUAGGCUCCUCUACCUGUCCUUAAGUACCACGCGACACGAGGAACCGCGUGGGAAUCCACCCUGACCACAGGGUAAGGCUAAAUACCUUUGAUGACCGAUAGUGAACUAGUACCGUGAGGGAAAGGUGAAAAGCACCCCGGGAGGGGAGUGAAAUAGAACCUGAAACCGUGUGCCUACAAGCAGUCAGAGUCCCGAUGCAAAUCGGGAUGAUGGCGUGCCUAUUGAAGAAUGAGCCGGUGAGUUAAUCUGUGUGGCUGGUUAAGCGACUUAAGUCGCGGAGCCGUAGCGAAAGCGAGUCUGAAUAGGGCUGGGAGUAAUCCCGAGUUGCACGGAUUAGACCCGAAGCCGGGUGAGCUAUCCAUGGCCAGGGUGAAGCUUCGAUAGAAUCGGAGUGGAGGCCCGAAACCGUCAAUGUGGCAAAAUUGUGGGAUGGUCUGUGGGUAGUCUGGUGAAAUGCCAAACGAACUCGGGGAUAGCUGGUUCUCCUCGAAAUGUAUUGAGGUACAGCCUCAGAUGUUCGCUAAUGGAGGUA
rnacentral:rRNA from 1 species